AAUAGGGUUAUGGCGGAUGUACUCGGUCGGUUUCGGAUAAUAAUUUUGGGCCCAUCGGAAACCGAGUCCGACCGAAUCAAUAAUAUAUUAAUUUUAUUAUUUAUAUUUAUUAUUAGUACUAGGGUUAGAGAUAAGUUUUCUCUCAUUCUUUCUUCUGGCGCCGCAACAUGACCUUCGCCUCUCAUCUCUUUCAAUCUUCUCUCAUCUCUUUCCUCACCACCACCAUAUUCACCCUUCGUUGCUUCCCUCACCACCAUCUUCGUCUCUCUAACAGACACACGUUCUCGUUCUCUCUGACUUUCACUGAAUCACCACUCAGUUUUGAAGCCCAAACCCUAACCCCCAAAUCAUUGAAAAUGUUUACAAUGACAUUGAAAGGUUUCAAGAAUGGAGUUAGGGUAGAUUUGUAAAACAGAAGUGAACUGAUUCUCAUACCAGAUCUGAAGUUCUCGUGAAGAAAUAAUGGUUUCAGGAAUGGAGUUAGUGUGGAUUUGUUGAACAGAAGUGAAGUGAUUCUCAUACCAGAUCUGAAGUUCUUGCGAAGAAAUAAUGGUUUCAGGAAUGAAGUUAAUGGAGUUAGUGUAUAUUUGUAGAACAGAAGUGAUUCUCAUACCAGAUCUAAAGUUCUUGUGAAGAAAUAAUGGCAAUUUGUGGGAUGAUUUGAACUACAGCAAAACCAAUAUUUACUGAUUACAUUGGGAAGUAUCAGAUCAAAGUAAUUGAGUUUGAUCAGUUGACCUUUGAAAACUCAAUCACGUGCAAUUGAAGGAUGCAAUAACCUUUGGAUUUGAAAUAAUUUAAAUAUGCUGAAGAAUUUAGGCUUUGGAGAAUGGAG